rnacentral:rRNA from 1 species
CCUACGGGCGGCAGCAGUGGGGAAUAUUGCACAAUGGGGGAAACCCUGAUGCAGCGACGCCGCGUGAGUGAAGAAGGAUUUCGGGAUGUAAAGCUCUAUCAGCAGGGAAGAAAAUGACGGUACCUGAGUAAGAAGACCCGGCUAACUACGUGCCAGCAGCCGCGGUAAUACGGAGGGGGCAAGCGUUAUCCGGAUUUACUGGGGGUACAGGGAGCGUAGACGGCAGCACAAGUCUGGAGUUAAAUGCCGGGGCUUAACCCCGGAACUGCUUUGGGAACUGUGCAGCUAGAGUGCAGGAGAGGUCAGUGGCCUUCCUCGUGUAGCGGUGAAAUGCUUAGAUCUUAGGCGGAACCCCAGUGGCGAAGGCGGCUUCCUGGACUGUAACUGACGUUGAGGCUCGACAGCGUGGGGAGCAAACAGGCUUAGAUACCCUGGUAGUC